GACGGACGACGGAGAACGGUUGAGCGCAACGGACGACGGCGAACAGGCGACUGAUGAGAGCGAACAGGGGAUGGAGAGCGAACAGGUGACUGAUGAGAGUGAACAGGGGAUGGUGAGAGAGAAGGGUUAGUGAGAUCGAAGUAGCGAACGCUGAUAGCACGAAGACGGAAGUUCUUGAGUGCAACGGAGGCGGCAGCAGCAGUUUCCCACUCCGACAGACGGCGACAAGAUUGGUGGAGGCUAGGGUU